rnacentral:rRNA from 1 species
UACGUAGGGUGCGAGCGUUGCCCGGAUUUAUUGGGCGUAAAGAGCGUGUAGGCGGCCAGGUAGGUCAGCUGUGAAAACUCGAGGCUCAACCUCGAGAUGUCGGCUGAAACCAUCUGGCUAGAGUCCGGAAGAGGAGAAUGGAAUUCCCGGUGUAGCGGUGAAAUGCGCAGAUAUCGGGAAGAACACCCGUGGCGAAGGCGGUUCUCUGGGACGGUACUGACGCUGAGACGCGAAAGCGUGGGGAGCGAACAGG